UACGUAGGGGGCGAGCGUUGUCCGGAUUUAUUGGGCGUAAAGAGCGUGGUAGGCGGCCAGGUAGGUCUGCUGUGAAAACUCGAGGCUCAACCUCGAGACGUCGGCGGAAACCAUCUGGCUAGAGUCCGGAAGAGGAGAGUGGAAUUCCUGGUGUAGCGGUGGAAAUGACGCAGAUAUCAGGAAGAACACCCGUGGCGAAGGCGGCUCACUGGUCCGGUACUGACGCUGAGGUGCGAAAGCGUGGGGAGCAAACAGG
rnacentral:rRNA from 1 species